AUUGAACGCUGGCGGCAUGCCUUACACAUGCAAGUCGAACGGCAGCACGGGAGCUUGCUCCUGGUGGCGAGUGGCGAACGGGUGAGUAAUACAUCGGAACGUACCCUGAAGUGGGGGAUAACGUAGCGAAAGUUACGCUAAUACCGCAUAUUCUGUGAGCAGGAAAGAGGGGGAUCGCAAGACCUCUUGCUUUAGGAGCGGCCGAUGUCGGAUUAGCUAGUUGGUGAGGUAAAGGCUCACCAAGGCGACGAUCCGUAGCGGGUCUGAGAGGAUGAUCCGCCACACUGGGACUGAGACACGGCCCAGACUCCUACGGGAGGCAGCAGUGGGGAAG
rnacentral:rRNA from 1 species